UACAGAGGGGGCAAGCGUUGUUCGGAAUUACUGGGCGUAAAGGGCGCGUAGGCGGCCCGUUAAGUCGAACGUGAAAUCCCCGGGCUCAACCCGGGAACUGCGUCCGAUACUGGCAGGCUUGAAUUCGGGAGAGGGAUGCGGAAUUCCAGGUGUAGCGGUGAAAUGCGUAGAUAUCUGGAGGAACACCGGUGGCGAAGGCGGCAUCCUGGACCGAGAUUGACGCUGAGGCGCGAAAGCCAGGGGAGCAAACGGG
rnacentral:rRNA from 1 species